rnacentral:rRNA from 1 species
GGGCCCGCACAAGCAGUGGAGCAUGUGGUUUAAUUCGAAGCUACGCGAAGAACCUUACCAGGGCUUGACAUAGUUCUAAGACUCUAGAAAUAGAGGGAUAUACAGAACAUACAGGUGGUGCAUGGUUGUCGUCAGCUCGUGUCGUGAGAUGUUAGGUUAAGUCCUCCAACGAGCGCAACCCUUGUCCUUAGUUACCAUCAUUAAGUUGGGGACUUUAAGGAGACUGCCGGUGUAAGCCGGAGGAAGGUGGGG